UACGGAGGGUGCAAGCGUUAUCCGAAUUUACUGGGUUUAAAGGGUGCGUAGGCGGGCCAUCAAGUCAGUGGUGAAAUCUUGACGCUUAACGUCAAAACUGCCAUUGAUACUGGUAGCCUUGAGUAAAAGAGAAGUAAGCAGAAUUCAUGGUGUAGCGGUGAAAUGCAUAGAUAUCAUGAGGAAUCCCAAUAGCGAAAGCAGCUUGCUAGCUUUUUACUGACGCUGAGGCACGAAAGCGUGGGGAGCAAACAGG
rnacentral:rRNA from 1 species